AACGAACGCUGGCGGCGUGCCUAACACAUGCAAGUCGAGCGCGAAAGAGGGCUUCGGCUCUUGAGUAGAGCGGCAGACGGGUGAGUAACACGUGGGCAACCUGCCCCUGGGGGUGGGAUAACCGCUCGAAAGGGUGGCUAAUACCGCAUAAGACCACGGGUCUGCGGAUCUGGGGUUAAAGGUUUCGACCGCCUAGGGAGGGGCCCGCGGCCGAUUAGCUAGGUGGUGAGGUAACGGCUCACCAAGGCGACGAUCGGUAGCUGGUCUGAGAGGAUGAUCAGCCACACUGGUACUGAGACACGGACCAGACUCCUACGGGAGGCAGCAGUGGGGAAUAUUGCGCAAUGGGCGAAAGCCUGACGCAGCAACGCCGCGUGGGUGAUGAAGGCCUUCGGGUCGUAAAGCCCUGUCAGGUGGGAAGAACCCGGCUUUCGGGCCGCUGACGGUACCACCGAAGGAAGCACCGGCUAACUCCGUGCCAGCCGCCGCAGUAAUAC
rnacentral:rRNA from 1 species